GAUGGCUCCUUAUGCCGGCUGCGGGAAGGGAGGAGGCCCAACGGGAUCUCUUGGGAUCUGAGCAAGGCUGCAUCCCCUCAUCCUCCAACAGAUUUAACACUCGCUCUCUGGCCGUGCUUAUCUUCUGCUGUACCCUACCCUGGCUAGUUGCUCGGACUGGACGGGGGGAUUGAGGAGGGAGAAGGUAGUAAUUCUACCCUUAAAUGGAUGGAGGCGGGGGACGCGGUGAGCUUCGCCUGGAUUUUAUCUCCGUCCUGCACUGGGUAGGAAAAGAGGAGCUAUCAGCCGGGACCUCGGCCCCAGAGCUGGCUUUUGCCUGCCCAGCCUGUGCCCCCACCCUCCGAAAACCUCUACCAGCAAAGAACACAAACAGGUUCCGUUUCCCAGCUCACAGCCCUUUGCAGUUCUCCAGCUGGCAUAGCUAUUUACUCGCCUGGUGUUUUGGACCCAGGAUAGUGAGAAAAGGAAGAGGAGAAAACUAUCAAUUACAAACCACCUACGAUGUGCCAAGGAGCAUGCUGUGCUUUGUAUCUGCACUGUCUUGUUAGAACCCCUCAAUCUAUAGAAGGGAAAAGCAAGAUCCAAAGAUGUCAGUUGCCAAAGGCCACAGAGCUUGUAAGCAGCACACUCGGAUUUGAACUCCAGGGUCCCUGAUCCCUGAGUGUGCCUGUUUUAAACUCCUACACUUCAGUUCAUCAGGGACAAAUUUGGACUUUUUCAAGAGACUUUUACUAGAGGAAACUUAAGGGACAGACAAAAGCAAAAUGCAAGAUAUGGAAACAGAUGUGGCUGAGUGCUGAUUCUGCAUUUCAGGGUAUCUGGAGCUCAUUUAAAACUCUCUGGCUCCAAAAGCCUCUGUUUCUUUCUGCUCUCCAUCCUGCCUCGGACAGUCACACCUCCAGCCCAACCCAUCUCCUCAUCUGCCUCUUCUGGCUGGGUCCAUGGUGAUCCUUUUUCCUGGAGCAGUGGCUGUAACUUCUGCUAGUCGCCUGUGUCUCUCACCAGCCAGGGAGCCCAGGGUAGGCUGAACUGUUCCUGGCAGACGCUUCCUGUGCUCAUAGAGGCGGCUGGUCUUGGGCUCUGCCGUCACCUUGCUUGGUUUCCAGUGCCAGGUUGGCCCCUUGUGAGCUGAACGACCUUGGACAAGUAGCCUCCGUUUCCUCAUCUGUAAACUGAAGAUGAUGACGGCACCAACCUUAGAGAAGCUGGGCAACCUCCAUGGGCAGCAGGCAGCCCCGUACAGCUGGACGAGAUGAGGCAAGGACCUGAAUCCACUUCUUCAUGCUGCCCCAAUAAAUGGUAGUGAGAUAGGAAAGAAGCCGGGGGCUCCGUCUACGGCUGGUGGGAUCUUAUAGAGGGAUUUUUCUGGGACCUGACAAUGGGAAGGAUACAAUGAACCUGGUGCAGAUGGCUACAUAACCUGGGAUGAGAGGCCAGGCCUGGAGACUUCCUACAGCAGAAGUGAAGUAUAUCAGAAGAGGUAGAGAGAAGUCAAAGACAACUCCAAGUUUUUUGGUCUGGAUGACUAGAAGGAUGAAGUGGCCAUCAGCUGAGAUGGGCAAGAUUGUGGGUGAAGCUAUUUUGGCAGGUAUGAGUAGGAUUUCAGUUUUAGACCUAAUACAUUUGUGAGGUGUAUGAGGCAUCUAAGUUGAGACAUGAGGUGGGCAGUUGUAUACAUGAGUUUGGAGAUUAGGAGAGAGGUCUGGGCUGGAGAUGGAAGUUGGGGAGUGUUCAGCAUUUAGCUAGAACUGAGGGCUCUAAGGGUGAGAUAUAUUGGAUGUGAUCACAAAGGAAACAAAUGUGUGGAUAGAAAAAAAGGAGAUAACUAGGAACUGAGCCUUGAGAUCCUCCAACAUUCAGGGUUUGGGGAGAAGAGGAGGAACCAUCAAAGGAAACCGAAUAGUGACCAGCAAGAAAGAAGCAAAACCAAGAGGUUGUGGUGUCCUGGAAGCCAAGCAAAGGCAGUAAAUCAAAUGCUCCUGAUGGGUCAGCUAAGCUGAGAGCUGAGAGCUGACCAUUGGAUUCAGCCACCUGGAGGUUCCUGGUGACCUUGACAAGGACAUGCUAUCAGGGGAGUGAUAUGGUGGGGGUGGGGGAAGCAGAUCAACUGGAGUCAGCGAAGGAGAAGAUGGGAGGAAAGGAAUCAGCAGGCGAAACUCUCUUUUGAGAGUUUUUUCUGCAAAUGAGUUUUAUUUUCUUCACUAAGAAAUUGAACUGAGUCUGAACAGAGGUGAUUUUAAAAAACUUUUUUAUUUUAGAAUAGUUUUAUAUUUAAGAGAAGUUGUGAUGAUAAUACACCAAUAUGAUUGGACAUUGACUAAUGAACCAACAUGGACAUAUUCUUUUAACUCAAGUCCAUGCUUUAUUCCAUAUUUCCUUUUAUCUAAUGUUCGUUUCUGCUUGAGAAUCCCAUCCAGGAUAACACAUGCGGUCAUUAUGCCUCUUAAGCCUCCUCUGGAUGGUUCCUUGGACUUCCCUUGUUUUUCAUGACCUUGACAGUUUUGAGGAGUACUGAUCAGGUGCUCUGUAGAAUGUUCCUCAACCGGGGAUUGACUGAUGAUUUCUCAUGAUUAGACUCGGGCGUGGGUUUUUGUGAAGACCACAAAAGUGAAGUGCCAUUAAAAGAGGUAAUUUCAAAUCUUUGGGCUGGGACUUAGCCAGGCUCAGGCGGCAGCUGUUUGGAGAAGCAGGCUCAGCGAUGGUCUCUUCUUUCCAGCGGGCUGGAGGAGGCACGGUUUGAACUGGUGGAAAGGCACCAACAUGAAAUAUCAACUGUAGGAGAGGGUCCCAGGUGCAGUGUGGGGUGGGGAGUGGACAGAGCUUUUUGAACCAAGAAAAAAGAGGGUGGAAAAGUGGAGUUCAGGCUUUCAUGGUGUUUGUUGGGCUGGGUCUUCAGCAUUUUUGGUUCCUGAACUUGAUCGUAUCAGCUUCUUCCGAAAUGUUUAUGUUCUGGGAACUGAGUCCAUCAACCAAAUGCAGAGAAAACAAACUAAAGUCUACCCAGGGGCUUAUAGUUUAUAACACACUGAGAACGAGCAUGACCUCGUUUGACCUUUACAGUCCUUCCUAGAAGUAGACAUUAUUGUUUCCAUUUUGUAGCUGAGUCCAGAGAGGUUGAAAGAGGGUCCCAUAGCCAGCAGAGUAGGGUCUAAAAUCAAGGUCAGUUUAAGUGAAGUCCAGAGUUCUCACCACUACUGGAGAGAAUUCUAAGCCUGAAAGAUGACCUAAUAAUUUAUUAUAGGGAGUAUCGACCUUGCCAGUGUCCUCAGCACUCAGGUAUGAUGUCUGGAGACUGUCCCCUGCCCUUCCUUCUAUUAAGGCACACAGGAAGCCCAAUUGGUUACUUAGAAUGUUACUCAGUCUUUAUCAUGCAUGCAGAUGGGAGUGCCAUUGAGCACAGCUUUCCUGGAAAAUAAUUUUGCAGUAAGCACCAAGGACUUUACAAAUGCUGGUAUUCACUGACCCAAUAAUUACACUUCUGAACAUCUGUUCCAGGAAGUAUGGCCUGGUGGAAAUAAACUAAAUAUGGAAAAAAGUUUUUUGCAGGAUGAUAUUCAUGCCAGGGUUAUUUAGAGUGGGGAAAACUGAAAACAACAAGAACAUUCAACAACAGGAGACUGGCGACAUAAAUCAUGGUGUAUAUUUUCACUGGAUGGAAUAUCAGAUGGACAUAAAAGUGAUGUUUAUGAAGAGUUCAUAAUAACAUGUGCUUAAAAGUAACACGUGAAUUUGUUCUAGAAUAUCUGGGUGUAAGAAACAUUUCAUUUGAUACUUUUCUUAAAAUAAAUCUGGUUCUUAUCCCUCCCCACCCACUCAGCGAAUAUAUAAAUUAUUUACAUUAUUGGGUCUCCCUCUCCCCUAUUCCCA